GACGAACGCUGGCGGCGUGCCUAACACAUGCAAGUGGAGCGACGAACCGGGCUUCGGCCCGGGGCCAAGCCGCGAACGGGUGAGUAACACGUGGGUAACCUGCCCUGAUGAUUGGGACAACCCGAGGAAACUCGGGCUAAUACCGAAUGUGCCCUCCGACCAUAAGGUCUGCGGGAAAGGAGCUUCGGCCUCGCAUCGGGAUGGGCCCGCGGCGCAUUAGCUUGUUGGUGAGGUAACGCUCACCAAGGCGACGAUGCGUAGCUGGUCUGAGAGGACGAUCAGCCACACUGGGACUGAGACACGGCCCAGACUCCUACGGGAGGCAGCAGUGGGGAAUCUUGCGCAAUGCGCGAAAGCGUGACGCAGCAACGCCGCGUGGGGAAGACGGCCUCGG
rnacentral:rRNA from 1 species